rnacentral:rRNA from 1 species
AGUCGUAACAAGGUCUCCGUUGGUGAACCAGCGGAGGGAUCAUUGCUGGAACGCGCCCCAGGCGCACCCAGAAACCCUUUGUGAACUUAUACCUUACUGUUGCCUCGGCGCAUGCUGGCCCCCUCGGGGCCCCCUGGAGACAGGGAGCAGGCACGCCGGCGGCCAAGUUAACUCUUGUUUUUACACUGAAACUCUGAGAAAAAACACAAAUGAAUCAAAACUUUCAACAACGGAUCUCUUGGUUCUGGCAUCGAUGAAGAACGCAGCGAAAUGCGAUAAGUAAUGUGAAUUGCAGAAUUCAGUGAAUCAUCGAAUCUUUGAACGCACAUUGCGCCCUCUGGUAUUCCGGAGGGCAUGCCUGUUCGAGCGUCAUUUCAACCCUCAAGCAUUGCUUGGUGUUGGGGCACUGCUUUUAACGAAGCAGGCCCUGAAAUCCAGUGGCGAGCUCGCCAGGACCCCGAGCGUAGUAGUUAAACCCUCGCUUUGGAAGGCCCUGGCGGUGCCCUGCCGUUAAACCCCCAACUUUUGAAAAUUUGACCUCGGAUCAGGUAG